rnacentral:rRNA from 1 species
AUUGAACGCUGGCGGCAGGCCUAACACAUGCAAGUCGAACGGUAACAGGAAGCAGCUUGCUGCUUUGCUGACGAGUGGCGGACGGGUGAGUAAUGUCUGGGAAACUGCCUGAUGGAGGGGGAUAACUACUGGAAACGGUAGCUAAUACCGCAUAACGUCGCAAGACCAAAGAGGGGGGCCUUCGGGCCUCUUGCCAUCGGAUGUGCCCAGAUGGGAUUAGCUAGUAGGUGGGGUAACGGCUCACCUAGGCGACGAUCCCUAGCUGGUCUGAGAGGAUGAGCAGCCACACUGGAACUGAGACACGGUCCAGACUCCUACGGGAGGCAGCAGUGGGGAAUAUUGCACAAUGGGCGCAAGCCUGAUGCAGCCAUGCCGCGUGUAUGAAGAAGGCCUUCGGGUUGUAAAGUACUUUCAGCGGGGAGGAAGGGAGUAAAGUUAAUACCUUUGCUCAUUGACGUUACCCGCAGAAGAAGCACCGGCUAACUCCGUG